rnacentral:rRNA from 1 species
CGUAGGGUGCGAGCGUUAAUCGGAAUUACUGGGCGUAAAGCGUGCGCAGGCGGUUUGUUAAGAUAGGCGUGAAACCCCCGGGCUCAACCUGGGAACUGCGCUUAUGACUGGCAAGCUAGAGUACGGCAGAGGGGGGUGGAAUUCCACGUGUAGCAGUGAAAUGCGUAGAGAUGUGGAGGAACACCAAUGGCGAAGGCAGCCCCCUGGGUCGAUACUGACGCUCAUGCACGAAAGCGUGGGUAGCAAACAGGAUUAGAUACCCUGGUAGUCCACGCCCUAAACGAUGUCAACUAGGUGUUGGAUGGGUAAAACCAUUUAGUACCGGAGCUAACGCGUGAAGUUGACCGCCUGGGGAGUACGGCCGCAAGGUUA